CUCCGGUAAUGGCUAAGACCAGUGCACAUGCGUAAGAGGAAACAAAGGGUUGCCCCUGUCGUUUCCCUCGGAUCGGUCUGAGCAUGUGCGAAACGAGGGGAAGGAAACGUGUCGCCCAUGUGGGGAGUGCGUACAAAUGGUCUGUAUGUGCAUGUGAUGCAUGCACACGAGCAAAGUGAGUGCACGCACGCAGCUCAUGCACUUCCAAACCGGUAAGGAAGGUAAGUAUAUUUUACCCCUGUUCUCAAGAGUAAACAAUUUUUGUUGUCUUAUAGGGGCUUUUGUUAAUGGUUGCUAAAACAGUAGUCUUCAAUUUAACCAACUAGUAAGAAAUAUAUUUUUCUACUCUGUAUAGAUAAGUAAUUAGUCUGAACAAACAUUUGGAAUAUUUUAGGGGCUAAGAAAGCAGCAGUGGUUGCUUUAUUGAUGUUCAUAAAUUCGCUCAUAAAGAUUUUUUAUCUAUAAAACCUAAAAUCUGCUAGUAGUUCCCUAUUACCAGAUCAAUAAAAGGGUAGCAACAGAGGUGAAAUCCAGCUGUAUAUAUCCGGUUCGCGUGAACUGGUAGCACCGGUUGUGGGAGGCUCUGCCCACCUGCUGGGAUGUUAUUACGUCCCAUUUUUGAACCUCUGCAUGCGCAGAAGGCUCUGCGCAUGUGCAUAAGAGGCACACACUCUCACAUUCCCAAACCGGUAGUGAAGGUAAGUGCAUUUUACCACUGGGUAGCAACCAUAGACGUUUCUAUUACAUCUUUUAUAUUAUAAAAUGGUCUCCCGCUUGAAUAAGAUUAGUGCUCACUCUAACAGCUUUUUGGCAACUAGUACAGAGUUUUUCCAUGGAGAGUUGAGGACGAUUGGGGAGAGGGUGCCAUCUCAGCUAUUAUAUUGGUAUAAUGUAGUUUUUGCUUUGUGUUUUCUCCUUUAAUUGUCAUAAUAUAUAAAUUACUUGGAGUGCAUGCAGAUUGCAGGAAAAUAUAAAAGAAAUUAAUAAGCUCCACAUCUGUCUUUUACAAUAGGUUCGCUAAGGUGUAUCCAUAAUAUAGUUUGUUUGGUUUUAGCUUAGCAUGUUAAGUGAAUCCAGCCUUCCAGACUCAAUCAAAAAAUUACUGUUAAAACAAAUAUGGAUUAACAUGAUUGGCAUAACGAAAACUUCUCUGUGUCAUUUUUGCCCUACUGUUGCAAUAUUAGACUUUUACAGUUGGCCGGGUAGCAUUGUCCAAAAUGGAUAAUGGAUGGAUAAUGUAUGAAUUAUGAAGUAUGAAUGCAGAUGUAGCCAUCUCAGUACAGUAAUCCCCGACAUACACAAAUCAGAUUAUCUGUGUGGAAAUUUCUGUAAAUCAAUUUAUCUUGCAUAUUCCUAAAAAGAGUUGCAGAAUCGAUAUUGGAAGAAAAAAAAGAGUUGAAUAAGUUGCAUGAAGAAAUAAAUAAAUAUUACUGUUAGUUGAUGGUUCAGAAUCCACUAUACUAUGUAUACUAUACUAUUUACUAUUGGUGUAAUUAAAAAAUUAGCUGUGAAAAAAAUCUUUUAAAAAAUUGAACGGCAAUGGUUCUUAAGGUCUUUUAUGCAAGACAUGAUCCAAACAUAAGCAAGAGACAACAGGUCGCAGCAUUUCAGAGGAAGAACAGAACUUGAACAAAAUUGCAAUGAGUGUGAAUAUAAUUAUGAGUUAAGAAACUAUAAUACACAAACAUUUUGUGGUCACUACAUGAAGAGGUCAAGCUACAAAGUUUAUGUCCAGCAAAGGCAGGACUGAAAGUGUUCAGAGAUGCUAUAAUUUGCAUGACAUAAACUUGGCAGAAGAGAUGGCUUUAGCAGAGUUUGAAGCAGCAUCCAAGUUUCCUGUCAAAUUAAAAAGAAAGUGAAAGAAAUAAUUAAUUAUUGGGUCUGGUCUUUGAAACUAGUCCUUUCUGAAUCUGGCCCUUUCUGGAAGCACAUGACAGAAACUGCAAGGAGGGGGAAAGGGGGUUCACAGCUGCCAAGACAGCUGUGAGGCAAUGCUACAUGAUUUCAUGUUGCAGCCCAUGCCUUUAUAUUGUACUCUUAGCUCCAGGUACUUUUAAGGGCGGGAAUAAGACUUUUCUCCUCUUCCUGGAAGGGAAAUAGGCAAGCAUGCAUAACUGGUUAAGUGCUAUUUUGCUUAAUGAAGCAUAGCUUUCAGGGUCCCCAGUAAUGGCCAUACUGUUUUGCACAUCCCAAGUAAUUUCCCCCCUCCAAAUAUCACCUCACUCCUUCAGGCUAAACGGCUGUGAAAGUUUUUAAAAGCUAUUACAUUAUAUACGUUACAGAUUAAUAUAGUUGCUUAAUUAAUUCCAAAGCUGGCUUUUAAGGGUUCAUGGAAAGGAUACACCAUUGCUCAAGUUGUAUCUUCUAGGAAUUUUUGGAGGAAACAAAACAACCUUAAUGCUCUGAAGAGGAAACGCUGAUACAAGAUGGUUAAUUAAUUGAUUGGUUUUCAUGUUGCUGAUGGUUUGCUUUCUUGAGGGCAGAUAGAUGAUGGAUCUGAAGACAUACAAACAAAUGUUACCACCUCUUGUAUUUCCAUUCUUAGGGUCUAACAACUGAUUGCAUCAUCAAUCAAUGAAUGUAAUAAUUAAGAAAAGCAAGAUGAAGAACUCCAACUGAAAUGGUUUUUAUGAAAUUAAGAUAUGCUACUAUAGCCUCAAGCUAUUUUGGUUGAUGAGGCAUUAGAGAUUGAUUCUUUUAUGGAAUGUGGUAUGAAGUCUAGAAAUCCGAUGAAUGAUAAUUUGAUGCUAUAUAAAUAGCUGCAGAAAACCUUAAGAAAGAAAAAUAAGCAACUAUCUAGGCAAAACUGAAACACUGAUAGUAUAGCCUGUGUUAAUAACAGUACUAUCAGGAGAACAUAAAGUCACUUCUAUUGUGAAAGAGGAGGAAACUAUUUUCUCAGUAACCAUCAAGCUCUUACCUUCUCCAUCCUCAGUAUUGUUGACAUCUUCAGGAGUUUCAGAAGCAUUAAAAUAAUAAACAAGGGCCUUGAAACAACCCCACUAAUAGUGACAGUUUAGCAUGCCUAGUGAUUACAAGACACUGUAUUCUGACAAGAGGAACAGAAAACUGGGACAAAAAGCACCUGGGCAUGCCCCGAUAUUUUUUAAUCCUAUUAUUUAUAUUUAAAUUUGCAUAUCUAUUAAUGUUAAUAUGUGUACAGGGAUACACAUAUGGAGCUCUAUGUAGACAAUUUAUAAUUUAUAAUGCAUUGAUUCUACAUUAAUUCGUUAUGUUUGUUUUAUGAUUUUAUUGAUUUUAUAUACUUUUAAUUAGGGCUCUUGUGGAAGUUUUAGUUAUUUUCUAUAUGUUUGGUAAACCUCUGAAAGUAAUAUUUGACUGUGGUAGGAUAUAAAUGUAAUAUAAAUUGUAAUUCAGUGUCAGAGCUGGCAUUUCUCCAGGUAUGUUAGACAAUAAUUUCCUUCAUCCCCAUGUAUUGGCACAGCUAUUGGCUAUGUAAACUGGAUCUGGUGGUAGUUCUAAUCCAAGAAAACUGUAUGAGGAGUCUGAGCUACGUAGAUAAAUCUGAGGUUUAUUACCAAAAGUUACAAUUACUUCCUAGCAGCUCUGCUUCUAAGGUCCUGGAUAUGCUUAUGGUUAGCUGUUAGAAACAGGACAAUUCACUUCGUGCCUUCUUUUUCUCUUAUAAUUUAACACUGAACUAGUGUGGCUUACUCUUUAAGGAAAAUUAAUCGUAAUCCUGAAAUUUAAUCUUGAUGGAAGAUGAUUAUCUUUCCUAUUAACAUUUCCUUGAAAAUAUUUUUGUGUAAUUCUGUAAAGACUGUGAUUUUCAGGUAUGCCAUUACCUCCCUCAUGUUCCUCAGAGUUCCUGAUUUGGCUUUAUUUUUUUUGACAGUUAAUUAUGUGAAUGUGCAGUCUAAGCUCCCAAUUUAGACUGAGACUUUCUCAGUACUUUUUGUUUUUUUUUUCCUGGACAAAUGCAUUAGCUCAAUUGAAUUACCAUGGCAAUCAGUUAUCAAGCAAAUUGUCCAGCAUGUAUUGAAUUUCAUUGCAGUAGUUUACAGAGGCUUUUCUGACAUUAGACUUAUUAUCUAGACCUCUGGAACUGGUAUAACAUGAUCCUGAUCUUUUUAGAAAACAUUUGUUUAUUUUGUCUGGUAUUCAAGCAAGAAAUACUGUUACAUGUCCCAUCUAAAGUGAUGUUUCAGUUUCCACAGCAGCAUAAACGGAACAAUUUUCAAAAAGUUGAGUUUCCAAAACUCAUAUAGACAUUUAUGCACAUCUCUACUUAAAAACAUAGCUGAUAUGUCACUUUAGAAUUUCAGGCAUAUCCAUCAUAACACGAUUCUAUAUUCAUGUUAAACAUAAUAUGGUUUGUAUCAUCUUGACCAAGCUUGUUAAUUUCAGCGUUGUUAUCUGGAACUAUGACUUAUGCAUACCAUGUGAAUUCAAAUAUAUAGAUAUUGGCUGGGUUUAUAAAACCCACUGAACCACAUUUGUUUUAGAUUCCCAAAUACUGCUAAGGAAAUACUAAGAUCCAGGAAGCAACAUGGAAUUCCAAAUAAUGAGCAACAACAGGCUGAUUCAGGACAGCAGUCUCUCCAGUCUACUUGCUCAAUGAAAACAGGAUGUUUGGGGUGCAGGAGUGGAAUAAUGAACCAGAUUUUAGGAAGAGGGGGAAGAAGAUGGCAAGGAUGAAAUGCAUGAUGUACAUCAUAUUGAAAUGCUCUUUAGUUGAGUAGCUGGCAGAUCAGUAGGGACAUAUUUUGGUCACUUGGCUUGAAUUUGGCAAGGCAUGGGUGGGAGACAGAAAUCUGCAGAAGCUAAGCAGCUAAUCCAUGCAUUAUUUUUGUUGACAAACCUGAAGAGGGCAGGUUGAGUCUAGUGUAGGAUUCUCUCUGGAAGCAUAUGGUAUGGGCUAAGCCUAGAGGAUUCCAGUGUGUACAAAGUAUCUCUCUAGAGCAGCUUGGCAAUCAUUAGAAGAGCAAUAGGCAAUUGUUCAGGAAGAGCUGAGGUUGCAUGAAGAAGAGCGACCACACUCUGAAUUCGAAUUACAACAGUGGUAAGGGGCAGAUAAAGGGGGAUAAAGCUAAAACCACCCCAUUUGGACAAGACAUGUACUCAGUGGUGGGAUUCAGCCAGUUCGCACCACUUCGGGAGAACCGGUUGUUAACUCUCUGAGCAGUUUGGUGAACUGGUUGUUGGAAGAAAUCAUUAGGGCAGAGAAACGGUUGUUAAAUUAUUUGAAUCCCACCACUGCAUGCACUAGAAUCCAAGAAAGCAUUCUAUCCAAUGAAGAUGUAAGUCAGAUAGGGAACACCCCUAAAAGAGAAGCAGCACCCAUCUCAUACCUACAUUAAGUUUGGUAUGGAAGGUAAUGCCAAGCUGUCUUGGAACUGGGAGUGAGGGCAGCUGUGAGAGCGUCAUCUUAGCUCUGAAGGAGUUGCAGAUGCUACUUGGAAGCAGUAGCCUGCAUGGUUUUGUGCAGACCUUGGUGAAUCACCUCUCCUGCAGGAACUGCUUUGGUUGCCGAUUUGCUUCCAGGUGCAAUUCAAGAUGCUAUUGUCACCUUUAAAGCCCUUCCAUGACCUGGGAUCAGGUUAUGUGAGGGACCGUCUUUUACUGGUCACAUCUACCUAACCCACUAGAGCGGGGAGGCAAGGAAUGUUGCGAGUCCCAUCCCCUUAGGACAGGAGUGUUAUGUAUUAGUGUUGUACCUUUAAAUAUUUGAGCGGGAAAUCAGCACGUUGCUGAUUGGUCGAAACCUCCAGCAGAACUGUAUAAAAGGAGAGGUUUUUCCCCCAGCCUGUUGCUGGGUUCACCCUAUAUUAAAGAGCUGUUGUCACUA